rnacentral:rRNA from 1 species
GAUGAACGCUGGCGGCGUGCCUAAUACAUGCAAGUCGAGCGAGUGGAUUAAGAGCUUGCUCUUAUGAAGUUAGCGGCGGACGGGUGAGUAACACGUGGGUAACCUGCCCAUAAGACUGGGAUAACUCCGGGAAACCGGGGCUAAUACCGGAUAACAUUUUGAACCGCAUGGUUCGAAAUUGGAAGGCGGCUUCGGCUGUCACUUAUGGAUGGACCCGCGUCGCAUUAGCUAGUUGGUGAGGUAACGGCUCACCAAGGCAACGAUGCGUAGCCGACCUGAGAGGGUGAUCGGCCACACUGGGACGGAGACACGGCCCAGACUCCUACGGGAGGCAGCAGGAGGGAAUCUUCCGCAAUGGACGAAAGUCUGACGGAGGAACGCCGCGUGAGUGAUGAAGGCUUUCGGGUCGUAAAACUCUGUUGUUAGGGAAGAACAAGUGCUAGUUGAAUAAGCUGGCACCUUGACGGUACCUAACCAGAAAGCCACGGCUAACUACGUGCCAGCCGCCGCGGUAA